AUGGUCUCCGUGGUGCCCGACCUGGCCUCUGAGGUUAACGACGCGUCCGUGUCGCCGCUGUACUUGGCGGUGAUGAGCAGGUCGGUGCGAGCCGUCAAAGCUAUAACGACCAGGUGCGGCGAUGCGUCGGCUGCUGGCCCGAGCUCGCAAAACGCUCUGCACGCCGCCGUCUUCCAGGGCUCAGAAAUGGUGAGGCUGCUACUGGAGUGGAAGCCAUGUGGCCCAUCCCUGGCUAGCCAAGCCGACGGCGCCGGCAGUACUCCGCUGCAUUUCGCUUCGUCGGACGGUGACCUCUCCAUCGUACGUGCCAUCCUGAGCGCCGUGCCGCCAUCCGCGGUGCACGCGCGGGACUCAGGCGGCCUCUCUGCUCUCCACGUCGCGGCAGGGAUGGGCCACGUCCGCGUCGCCGAGGCGCUGAUGAAAGCCUGCCCCGACGCCGCCGAGCUGAGGGACGACCGCGGCGGAACCUUCGUGCACGCCGCGGCCAGUGGAGGCCACUCCAAGGUCGUGCGGCUCGCCAUCAAGAGACCCACGCUGCACGGCAUCCUGAACACGCAGGACAGAGACGGCAACACGGCUCUCCACCUGGCGGUGGCCGCACGCGCGCCGGCCGUGGCGGAGGCCCUGAUGUGGAAGGGGAAAGUGCGAGCGGACGUCAUGAACAACGAGGGGCAGACGCCGUUGGAUCUCGCCGCGAAAUCGACCAGUUUCUUCUCCAUGGUAAGUCUGGUGGCGACACUGGCCGCAUUCGGCGCGCAGUCCCGUCCUCAAAGGCGGGACCAUGUCCAGCAAUGGAACAACCACGACAUAACAAAGGCGAUAGAGAAGACGUCGGACAGCCUCGCGGUGAUCGCCGUUCUCGUCGCUGGCGUCGCCUUCACCGCCGCCAACAACAUACCCGGCUCGUACGAGCAGGAGGGGAAUAAAAUAGGGAUGGCGGUCCUCCAGAAGAAGCCCAUCUUCAAAUGCUUCAUUAUCCUGGACAGCUUGGCCCUGGUGACCUCCGUGCUCGCCGUCGUCCUGCUCGUCUACGGCAAGGCCUCACGCUCCGCCGGGUCGUGGAAAACCUUCACGGCGGCGCUGCACUGCCUGUGGUUGUCCCUGAUCAGCAUGGUCCUGGCAUUCUAUGCGGCUCUGGCAGCCGUCACGAGCACCAGGGCGGUCCACGACAUCAGCUACUUCAUCAUAAACGGUGCCCUUUGCCUGAUGUUAGCCGUGGUCACGCAUUUGGUCAGCCCUCGCGUGUCCCACCACACGCUGUGGAAGUACCUUUGGCACCAAUGUGGCUUGAAAGGACGUCAAGGUGUCAUCCGUAGGCGUAUCAGACAGCAGUAUCCAGUCGUCGGUGCUUUCGUGCGCAACCUACUUCUGUUCAGGGCUGCAUAUUAUGUUGUAGUGCCUGCUGGUUUUGUCAUAGUCUGGAAACACGGUGACCGUGCGGCAAGAGAGAUGAAGCAAUUGAUGUAA
rnacentral:rRNA from 1 species